rnacentral:rRNA from 1 species
AGAGUUUGAUCCUGGCUCAGGAUGAACGCUGGCGGCGUGCCUAACACAUGCAAGUCGAGCGGGGUUGUCGGAGUGGAGUCCUUCGGGAUGAAGCACUGCCAACCUAGCGGCGGACGGGUGAGUAACGCGUGGGUAACCUGCCCUAAAGCCCGGGAUAACACCGGGAAACUGGUGCUAACACCGGAUACCUUCCGAAGAGGGCAUCCUUUUUGGAAGAAAGGUUAACGCUUUAGGAUGGGCCCGCGUCCCAUUAGCUAGUUGGUGAGGUAACGGCUCACCAAGGCAGUGAUGGGUAGCCGGCCUGAGAGGGUGGACGGCCACACUGGGACUGAGACACGGCCCAGACUCCUACGGGAGGCAGCAGUAGGGAAUAUUGCGCAAUGGGCGAAAGCCUGACGCAGCGACGCCGCGUGGGUGAUGAAGGCCUUCGGGUUGUAAAACCCUGUCCUUGGGGAAGAAGGAAGUGACGGUACCCAAGGAGGAAGCCCCGGCUAACUACGUGCCAGCAGCCGCGGUAAU